GGCCGCUGUGCUCGUCUAUGUUCUGUAGAGGCUGCAAGGCAGAUCCAGUAGCCAGAUGCAAGGAGAGGCUCUGGAAAAAUACGCAGGCGUAUUCCCUUAUCUGUGGCGGGUUCUGCAUCGAGUUAAACGUAGAUGGGGAUUUCAAAGGCUUGCCCUGGAUGAACCUAGUGCUAGGAUUCAUCAUCGGCGAUUUCUAGUCAGGAGGUGCGACUCGUAGUUGUUCUGUCCAACAAGUAGAGAGAGUUUCUUCCUUUUGUUUCGCUUGCGUAAUGCUGUAGGAAUAAUGCUCAAUCUGCAGUGCAGCUACCAUUCAUUUGUUUUGUUUUAUUUCUAUUAUCCUUUAAGAUUCAUAGCCAUAAUAAUUGUUCAAAUCACCCACUAAUAUUAAUGUAUAAUUGCAAUUGAAAAGGGCUCAUUUUUCUUCAAUACAAAUUAAUGUUAGUUUUGUAAACGCCAUUCACUUACAAUCAUGUUGGGAGGGAAAAAAAAAAUCAUUUCUCCUUCUCGACCACCGCCAUCACUGACAUGCUAUUCUCACCCUCCCUUUCUUCUCUGCUUCUUAUCGAGAGCCAACCCCCUUUCCCAGUUCUUCCUCCACCCCACCCCCAACCUUUGCUUCUCUGCUUUUGAUUGGGAUCCCGGAUCCACCCACCCUCCUUUUCUCGGUUCAUCCUCCUUUGCCUCUAUUGAGAUCCAUCCAAACCCCUUUGCUUGCUCGCUUAACCACGACCAUUCAAAUCCUGUUUUGCCAUUCAAAAAAUCCUUCACUGGAACAAAAAGCUCAAAAUAACUGGAGAGACUCCACUUAUUGUGCAAUCAAGGUCAGCAAAGAUGGCGUCAGCAAGACAACUAUUAAUAACUAACGUUAGCUUCUCAUUGGCUUGCAUCAGCAUUAAAAAACGAGUUAAUUACACUCUCCUUGUUGAGGUUAUGAAUGAUGAUUGAUGUCUGAACUAAGCACUAGUGCAUGAGAAAGUGGUGAUUCAAUUUUAGCUCUUCUAUUUUUAUAAACUCAAGUUGCUCAUCUAUUACAAAAAUUCUUCAGCCGGACUUAAAUCGUUCGAUAUCACAAACCUGAACUCUUCAGGAAGUGGUGCAGUGUCUUUACAACCUCUCUUGCUGACUUCAGAUAAGCCCUUGGCAAUAGUUUCCCAGAUUUUGUUUUCUCAUUAGGAUCAAACAAUGAUUUAAUGGCCCCAACAACUCCAUCCGUUUCCUCUAGAUCUUUUGAUACCUCUUUAAUGGCGUUGAAAUGCAAUUUAGAUUCUGUUAUGUUGCAAAAAGCUGUUAAGACAAAAGGUUGGGAACAACAACUCGAUCCAUCGCUGAGACUCAGUUGUUGAUUCUGAUUUAUUGGUGUGGAUGGAUCAUGGAUAAAUAAAUAGAAGAUAAAAGAUGGAAAUGGGUAUAAUUUUGUACUAUGAUAAUAUAAUUGCAAUCUUCUUACCUAACAAGAAUGAUUCAGCAUUCAUCAAUAGUCCAGACUACACAUUGAUGUGUUUUUGCAGUAACUACUGAAAUCGUAGGAAUCGAUAAAACAUAGUCUUAGCAAGAUUUAAGGUAGUUGUUGCUUACAGAGGCAGUGGCUCUUGGGCUUUGAGGUUUUUCUCUAUGUUUGGCAACUAUCCAAAGGGAACACCUUUGCUGCAAGAAUCAUGGCCAUUUCUUGUUCCUGGUAAUUCAGCAGCUAAAUCCAAUGCUUCCCUUAAACCAAAAACAAUCUCCUGAAAUUUUGCUACCUUAUCACAUAACAUAUAUAUACAUAUACACACAAAAUGAAACCAAAACAUAUAAGAAACAGGAGAAAGCAAGAUACCAGCAUGGUUCCUUCUCCGCACACAGACCUAAGCUUCCAAUUCCUGCCUCUGUACUGUUACUCCAUUCAAUUGAAACGCUUUUAUCCAAAUGGAUACAGGAGCCUUUUAACAUAAUCAAGGAUAAAUUAGCCACCGAAGAUACGGGUCCGAUAAAACGACGUCAUUUAAGCUGUCGAGUUUGGACAGCUUGAGGGGUGUUUGGGUCAUUGGACACUCCUCUGAACUCCCGCAGUCCCACUUCUCAGCAUCUUUGCUUUUAGUCCCCAGAUUAAUGUCCAACAAGCGCAUCUGUUGGCCUCUGAAGUCUGAACAUCGACGCAGCCUGCCAGUGCCAUCUUACCAAUCUGCUAUUAAUAUCUCUAUUAAGCACGUGAAUUUUCUCUCAGUUUUCUUUCAAUAGUAUCAUCUUUUGGAAAACCCUAGCUAUUUCCACCCGCUUCCCGAGGAUGGCUGGUGGCUCGGAUCCCAAAUCCUCCUUCGAUAAGCCUUCCUCCUCUGCUUCCCAGCGCAAAUCCCGUUGGGAAUCCUCCACUUUCACCGCCAAUAAUCCGUCGUCGGACUCCAAAUCCAACGACAAGAAACCAGGUAAACCCGCUUCGAAUUCAAAUCCUUCGCCUAAGCCCAACACAGGCCCAUCACCCAAGCCCACUUCCGCCGCUCUUCCGUCGGACCCAGCUUCUGCUCUGCCGGGACGCUCAUUCCCUUUGCCGGACCUAGGCCCGCCUCCUCCUCCCACCUACGGUUUUCACAUGCUAGAGCGUCGUACCAUUGUCCUCGCCGACGGUAGCGUCCGAUCUUACUUCGCUCUGCCCCCCGAUUACCAAGACUUCCCUCCUCGUCCACCUCUACCCCCGCGGUUCCUUCCCAUGGGACCUACUCUCGACUUCCCCGGUGCUGUCAAUGGUCACCGCUUCCCUCCAAUGAGUCCUGAAGGGUUAGGCUUUCGCGAUAAUAAUCAAAAUCAUAACCCUUCUACGAAGAGGAAAUAUGAUGGCGGUGAGGAGGAAUUCAGGUUUGGGAAUAAGCCCAACGGGCUUUAUCCGGGACCUGAUUAUCGCGGUGAAUUUUUGGCGGGGACUAGCAGCCCUUUUAGAAGAAAUUUAAGUGAUGAAUCCAGAGCGGGAAAAUAUAUUAGGAUUGCAGGUGAUAGUGUAGGUGUUAUCAUUAAGCAUCUUGAAGUGGACCAGAAUAAACUAAAGAAGGCUUUUUUGCAUUUCACUAAGGUGAUUAAUGAGACUGAGGCGGAGAGAAACCGUUACUUGGAGGACGAGAAGCAGGGCCGCCUUCAAUGUGUGGCGUGUGGCAGGUCUUCAAAAGACUUCCCAGAUAUGCAUGCUCUUAUAAUGCACACAUACAACUCAGAUAAUGCUGACUUGCAUGUGGAUCACUUGGGCUUACACAAAGCUCUCUGUGUUUUAAUGGGAUGGAACUACUCAAAGCCCCCAGAUAAUGCAAAGGUCUAUCAGUUCUUACCUGCUGAAGAAGCAGCAGCAAAUCAAGAUGAUUUGAUUAUGUGGCCCCCUUUGGUGAUAAUUCAUAACACAGUUACAGGAAAAGGGAAAGAUGGGCGCAUGGAAGGUUUGGGAAACAAAGAAAUGGAUAACAGAAUAAGAGAUCUUGGAUUUGCUAGUGGCAAGUCAAAGUCUUUGUAUGGAAGAGAUGGUCAUCUGGGCAUAACAAUUGUAAAGUUUAGUGGUGACCAGUUGGGCCUGAAAGAGGCUGUGCGGCUGGCAGAACACUUUGAGAAGGAAAAACAUGGGCGUAAGGCUUGGGGUUGCAUACAGCCCAUCAAGAUAGGUAAGGAUGAUGAGAAAAAUCCAAACCUUGUGAAGGUAGAACGGAAUGGGGAGAAAAAAAGGAUUUUAUAUGGCUAUCUUGGAAUGGCUGUUGAUCUCUGCACGGUUGAUUUUGAAACAAGGAAGAAGGUUUCUAUUGAGAGCCAGAGGGAAUACAAAACAUCCAAGUAGAUGAAUUGGUUUGGUGACAAGUAACUCAUUUAUGAAUUCUGAUCUCUAGUUUCUUUUUUUCUUUUUCUUUUUUUUUUGGGAUGUAGAUUGUAAUUAAAGGAUUAAUGUAAGCUGAUUGCUAGUUGUGUUGGUGGUGGUGCUAAAUUUGUUAGUUGAUCUACCGACAAUUGUGAUAUACAAGAACUUGUAGUUUCAGGUCGCGUUAUAGAUUUUUUUUCACUCUGUUGUUAGCCCAAGCAAUGCUCAGAUGUAAGUUGUCACUAUUUGUGCAAACUGUAUUAGCCAGCAUUGGUUGUGUAACCCAGUUGGCCUACACGGGAGCUGGAAGCGCACAAUUACUUUGUAAGAUGCAUGAGAAAAAUGAAAGGAAGCAUCUCUGAAAAUGAUUCACAUGCUUGCUUGUGGAGAACUUGACACACUGAAUUGGAGAUCUUUCCUAUUCAAUUGAAAGAUGACAAUUUCCAGAGACUGGACGGUUUGAUAGAGACUGUUGGCACGUAUUCAAGAAAACAAUGAGGGGCGGGGCAGGAGCAAGUCUUGUGCUCUCAUGAAUGUAGCUAGCACAGAAUUAUCAGUGGUACUGGUAGUGGUUAAGUAAUAAUGACUCGUCGUAUGGCUUGAAGAUAAUGUGGAUUUGUGUUUUGCCUUUGCUAGGGCCGAGGAAAGACGACAUAUGAUAACAAAUAAAAAUAGGAAAUUAUUAUACGAGUCGAACCUUAGAUCUGGCUUGCAUUGUUUUUACUUUCUUGAAGGGUUGUAUUCCAUGAUUAGGCAAAAUGAUCAAUUUAGUCUUUACUUGUUAAGGGA
rnacentral:misc_RNA from 1 species